rnacentral:rRNA from 1 species
UCGAGGGGCAGCGGGGGCGGAAGCUUGCUUUCGCCCGCCGGCGACCGGCGCACGGGUGAGUAACACGUAUGCAACCUGGCCGCCACAGGGGGAUAACCCGCGGAAACGCGGCCUAAUACCCCGUGACGCCACCGGAGGGCAUCCUCCGGUGGCCAAAGGAGCGAUCCGGUGGCGGAUGGGCAUGCGGCGCAUUAGCUAGACGGCGGGGUGACGGCCCACCGUGGCGACGAUGCGUAGGGGUUCAGAGAGGAAGGCCCCCCACACUGGGACUGAGACACGGCCCAGACUCCUACGGGAGGCAGCAGUGAGGAAUAUUGGUCAAUGGGCGGAAGCCUGAACCAGCCAAGUCGCGUGAGGGAUUAAGGCCCUGCGGGUCGUAAACCUCUUUUGCCGGGGAGCAGUGGUCCGGACGCGUCCGGGCCGGGAGAGUACCCGGAGAAAAAGCAUCGGCUAACUCCGUGCCAGCAGCCGCGGUAAUACGGAGGAUGCGAGCGUUAUCCGGAUUUAUUGGGUUUAAAGGGUGCGUAGGCGGGCAUUUAAGCCGGCGGUCAAAUGUCGGGGCUCAACCCCGGCCUGCCGUCGGAACUGGGUGCCUUGAGUGGGCGAGAAGUAUGCGGAAUGCGUGGUGUAGCGGUGAAAUGCAUAGAUAUCACGCAGAACCCCGAUUGCGAAGGCAGCAUACCGGCGCCCUACUGACGCUGAGGCACGAAAGUGCGGGUAUCGAACAGGAUUAGAUACCCUGGUAGUCCGCACAGUAAACGAUGGAUGCUAUCUGUCCGGGCCGAAUGAGGCCUGGGUGGCACAGCGAAAGCGUUA